UAAUACGUACUGUGCAAACGUUAUUCGGAAUCACUGGGCUUAAAGGGUGCGUAGGCGGUCGAUUAAGUAGGGUGUGAAAUGCCUCGGCUCAACCGAGGCACUGCGCUCUAAACUGGUCGACUUGAGUGAGAUAGGGGUGUGUGGAACUUCCAGUGGAGCGGUGAAAUGUGUUGAUAUUGGAAGGAACGCCGGUGGCGAAAGCGGCACACUGGGUCUCAACUGACGCUGAGGCACGAAAGCCAGGGUAGCGAACGGGAUUAGAUACCCCGGUAGUCCUGGCCGUAAACGAUGAGCACUAGUUGGGAGGGGCUUAACGCCCAUUCGAACGCAGCGAAAGCAUUAAGUGCUCCGCCUGGGGAGUAUGGUCGCAAGGCUG
rnacentral:rRNA from 1 species